ACAUAUAACAUUGUUUCCUAAUUAUCUUCUCUUUGCAUUUUAAUUUCUAAAAAUGACAGAAUAAUUUUUCAAAGUAAAAACCACAGUAGAAAUGAGUAGGUGUAUCACUAUUGGAUAAUGUUCUCCUUUCUAGUUUUUUAUUACAAAAUUGUGGUUUUGUUUUGAAAAAAUAUAUCUAAAUGCAUUUUUUAGACUAAAACAAUAAACUAUUUUUUUUUCUUUUAAAAAUUUGUGUAAACAUUUGGUGUGUUUCAAAGCUAAAGAAUUAGAGACAUCACAAUAAAUAUAUAUGUUAAACUCAUGACAUUUCUUAAGAAAUUAGAAACAAGAAAAAAGAAUAAAAUGUUAAUUAUAAUAUAUAUUCUUGUAUUUUGAUUUCUCGUUUAUCAUUUUCUAUUUUUGUUGCUUGUUUUUACUUUUAAUAGUGAAAAACAUAACAAUUGUAUUUGGUAACUAUUUGUUCAGUAUCUUAUUUAUUAAAAAUAUAUUUUAAAAAACGUUGAACAUACAAACACUUUUAAGUUGUUUUUAUUUUUAAAUAUUUAUUAGUGAUUUUACAAUCAUUAAAGAUUAUUUCAUAAUUUUUUAUGUUCGAAUAACGUUGUACUUAAAUAAAGAACAAAAUUAAAUAUGUUUUUAAGUAGUUGAAAGGAGGAAACAAAAAAUGACAAGCGUAAACGUUACCAAAUAAUUAAUUUCCACAUAUUUAAAAUAGAACUUAUGAAGCAACGGCUCCUACCAAUUUUUUUUCACACAG
rnacentral:lncRNA from 1 species